rnacentral:rRNA from 1 species
ACUCAAAUGAAUUGACGGGGGCCCGCACAAGCAGCGGAGCAUGUGGUUUAAUUCGACGCAACGCGAAGAACCUUACCUGGGCUUGACAUGUUGGUGACCGCCGUGGAAACACGGUUUUCCUUCGGGACACCAUCACAGGUGGUGCAUGGCUGUCGUCAGCUCGUGUCGUGAGAUGUUGGGUUAAGUCCCGCAACGAGCGCAACCCCCGUUCCAUGUUGCCAUCAUUAAGUUGGGGACUCAUGGGAGACUGCCGGUGACAAACCGGAGGAAGGUGGGGAUGACGUCAAGUCAUCAUGCCCCUUAUGUCCAGGGCUACACACGUGCUACAUUGGCGCAUACAAAGGGCUGCAAUACCGUGAGGUGGAGCGAAUCCCAGAAAGUGCGUCUCGGUUCGGAUUGGAGGCUGAAACUCGCCUCCAUGAAGCUGGAGUUGCUAGUAAUCGCAGAUCAGCAAUGCUGCGGUGAAUACGUUCCCGGGCCUUGUACACACCGCCCGU